AACGCACCUUGCGCCCUUUGGCUAUUCCGAUGGGCAUGCCUGUUUGAGUAUCAUGAACACCUCAACCCUUAUGGUUUACCAUGAUGGGCUUGGACUUUGGGGGUCUUGCUGGAUUGUAGUCAGCUCCCCUUAAAUGAAUCAGCUUGCUAGUGUUUGGUGGCAUCACAGGUGUGAUAAUUAUCUGCACUUGUGGUUUUACAUCAGGUAACCUUCAGAGAUGGAGGUUCACUGGGGCUCACAAAAGGCAUCUCUCCUCUGUGAGAAUGACUCUUAAACGUUUGAUCUCAAAUCAGGUAGGACUACCCGCUGAACUUAA
rnacentral:rRNA from 1 species